GUCUCUCUCUGAAUAAUGAGCAACCAGAGGGAGAGAGAAAGCAAGACAGAAAGAGAGAAGGAAGACAAUCUUCUCCUGCCACACAAAACGCCGGAGCACCAGGGGGUGCGCGAAGCCUUUCUAAUAACAACACCGCGCAGGAGAGAGGAAGAAAAGAGAAAGAAAGAAAGAAACGAGGAAAUGGGCAGGGGGCAUAAAAGGGAAGAAUUUUAUCCAAGAGCUGGAGAAGAGCAGAAGGAGAAGCUGGAGGAGAUGCUGAGGCUGCGGCUGCUGUCCCCCUCCCCUCUGCUGAACCCCAGAAGGAGGCAAGCUUGCGGUGUAUCUCCAGUGAAAAGCUCAAAUUGUCCAUUACUGGCACGUAUUUUGAAGACUUCUCCCCCGAAAUAAAGGCUCAUUGUGCAUUUUA